GGGUGGCGCGGACCUCGGGUCCCCAGCCAUCGGCGCUCUCCCGGGGCCCUCUGACCUCGCUCCUUAAAGGAGGAGGGUCCGUGGCAACGGUCCUCCUCGGCCAGGCGCUCUCGGGACGCGGGGGUGAGGAGUGAGCGCCGUGGCCCACCCUACUCUCCGAGCGGGGACGGAGUGGGCGACACCGCGCGCCCGGCUGCACGCAGGCUCUGCGCGGCUCGAGGCGGCCCUACAGGGGGCGAGGAGGAACCCCGGAGACUCGGCGGAGAGAGCAGAGACGGAGCUCACCAAGGGGCUUGCCGCCGCAGAGCGCGGGAGCCGGCACUCGGGGUACUUAACCGAAACUAGCAAUCCCAGGCGGUACAAGGCCCUCCAUCGUAGGCAAAGCACUACCUGAAUGUAGAUUUGGGCCAUACGUUGGAAAAUAAGACAUGAGAGUAUGCUCCGAUCAACUUUUACUGUUCACUGGACAACUAUUUUGGGAAUUUGCAGACCUAUAAAGCCCAUCUAUAAAUCUCAAGCAUGUCCACUUUCAGAGAAGAGAAAUGCUGACAACCAUUUAGUCUCUGAGGACAACACUUUUAAAGUGUAACAAUGUGGCAUCCAGAGCUUAUCCAGAUGAGCGGAGAGCAAAUGAAUUUCCUUCUGCUCCCCUGUUGAAGAGGAGAGAAAAAUUCUUCAAGCUUUAUACAGGACUCCAUCAUAGGACUGGAGAGAGAUUGGAUGUCAGAGUGAUUGAUGUGCUCCUACUGGAAGAAGGCAAACAUCCAUAUGUGAACUGCCUGUGGGGUUUCCAAGGAAAGGAACGGCAGGCAGCCUCUAUGAGCUUAAAGAAGAUAACUGGGACUUUAGUCCU
rnacentral:lncRNA from 10 species